AACAACAAAGAUUGGCAACAUGGAAGUCAUCAUCAAAUCCAUGAUGAAGACAAAAGAAGAAAUCCAAGUGCAGACAAAAAGUCUUGCAACGUGGAAGAUUUCAUCAAACCAAUGAUGAUGCAAGCAAUGACAGAAGCUACCAUGACACAAGCAAGUGAUGGAAGCGGUCAUUAAUUCAAGCAUGCAACGUGGAAACAACCAUGACCAUGCAGUUAAAGUGACAAGAAGACAGAUGAGACGUGGAAGCAGCCACAUCCUUUUUAAGCCGAAUCCUUAUCAGAAACACUGUUCAGGAUUCAAAAGACAAUUGUAUAGAAUUUUUAAUCUCCUCUAUAAAUAGAGAGGAAAGAUCAAUUGUAUAGACAUCUUGUAAUUACCUAAUAGUUUUACUUUUUAGUUUUCUCUCUUGUAAAGCCUUUCCUUUUUGUUAAUAAAAGAGUCUAUAUUCCCUUCCGCUCAUACUCAAAUUGUUGCAGGAUUGGCAAGUAGAAGAUAGAAAUAUAGUUUUUGUUGUUGAUCCCACCUUUGGUAAAUAAUUUAACAAGCCGGAAUUACUUCCUAGAGAGUUCACUCUAGUGAUUGAUGUAAGAAAAGACUAGUUCAGGAGAUCAAUGAUAUCGAAAAGGAUACCUGACUUCAAGUUGAAAGUGAGUUGACUCAGUGAAGAACUCGCUAUUGCUAAAGAAUUUGUUCACAGGUGAUGAGUAUGGUUGUCAAUUCCAAUGGUGAUGAAAGUGAUGAUGGAAGGGAAAAGAAAGAUAUUUUACAACGCAUGGAAAAUUUUAAUUGGUUAUUUCAUGUUGCAUAUUCUUCUAUGCAAUUAUAUUAUGAGAAGUAUAUAUUGAAGCAACCAUGCAUGGAUUCGAGAGAUCCUUGACGGUCACAAAUCAUGUUACAUGAUUAAUUUUAGGAUGUCAAAAGUUGUAUUCAGAAGUUUGUUUAGAGUUUUGAAGACAAGAUACAAUUUGCAAACUUCAAGAAACAUAUCUUCUUAUGAAAUGUUGAAAAUUUUUUUGUACAU